UUGGUCUUAGUUAAGUGGUUACCACAACAGAAUCAAAAUCUGUUUCUCUUGGACCGCGCAGGUUCGAAACCUGCUGACGACG